CGGCGGCGGCGGCGGCGCGGGCGCGCGCUUCCUAGUGACGCAGGCGGCGGGGCCGCGCACGCACGGGGCUGGGAGGGCCGGACACUUAUUUGGCGCUCGCGGAGGAGGAAGGCGGGGCCGUGAAAUAAGGCCCGACGGGCCCCGGGGCGCGUGCGCGGACCGACACUGUCAGCUCCUAACGCCGCAGGUUCCUCCUGGUCCCCGAGGCCCCCGGUCGGGCGUUGCCUGCCCCGCGCGGGCGGCCGGGCCGAGGGACGAUGGUCAGUGGACGGACGGCGCCAGGGAGCAGUGCCCACGCGCGGCAGGGCGGUACCUUCAGGCCUCCAGGUGUCAUCGAACACCCUUGUGCUUGCUGUCACCCGCUGCCUGUCUGCAGGAUCCCGGAUUCCGUAUCAGGGGACCGAAAUUAGUCGGAAAAUAGGAAGCAGGUGCUCGCUUGGAUGGAACCCUGACCCUGUGCUCACACUUGUAGGAGGAGGGCUCUGCAGGCCGCCUCCCGGAACGGGAGGUUCCCAAGCCACUGCACUUCGGAGGGGCUGUAAUUAGAGUUGCACAUUCAUUCAGUUCCCAGUAAAGUAGAACGUGCUCCAGCCAGUGAGGAAAAGGUGUUUUUAAAAAUUAGAUUGGCCGAGUGCGGUGGCUCAUGCCUUUUACCUCAACACUUUGGGAGACAAAGGUGGGAGGAUCACCUGUGGCCAGGAGUUCAAGACCAGCCUGGGCAACAGAGCCUGUCUCUGGGGAAGAAUAAAAAAAAAAAUUGAGCCUUUGUCAGUGCUACUAUUUUAUUAUCUGGUAAAUAUGAGAGGGUUCACGCGGUCUAUGUGUGUCAUUUAUCUGAGUUUGCCUAUCGUCACGUUUUGGAAAUAAAUGUCAAUAAAGUCGAAGAGGAGUGCUGAGGGGGGCCUGGGGAUGGGAGGGUGGCUACAUCAUGCCUGUGUGUUGCGCAAGCCCACCGAGGUCGGCCUGGGGUGAGCCCUGGGGCCUGUUCUGCCUCCUUCACUCUGGGGCUCCAAGAGACAAACUGGGCAACAAGAGAGAAACUCCAUCUAAAAAAAAAGAAAAAUCACCUCCAAGAUAACUUAGCUUUCUUCUGCUGGCAUAACAAAUUAUCUCAAACUUAGUCGCUUAAAAAUGCAAAUUUAGGCUGAGUGCGGAGGCUCACGCCCAUAAUCCUAGCACUUUGGGAGGCCAAGGCAGGAUUGCUUGAGGCCAGGAGUUCGAGACCAACAUGGCCAG
rnacentral:lncRNA from 1 species